GUUUAUUGAUUAAUUAAGCAAUACAUCAUAUACAUAUCUUGUAGAAAAUUCCCUUUUCUCCAUAGCUUUUAAGUCAUGAAUCACAAAGCCUUUUCUUUAUUAUUCAUAGCUUUUUUUGUCUUAAUUUUUUGUUUUUCCUCAGCAACCUCCAGGAGAUUGUUAGAAGAAGAUAGAAAAGUCCCUCAAGGAAGUUUACCAUAUCGUCCAUCACAAAAAGAACCAAUAUGCAAGAAGAAUAUAAUUGGCAAAUGUAUUGCCAAUAAGAAACCGCCACGUAUUGAAAAACCCUGCAAGAGUUUAACCAACUGUCAUAAAAUGAAACCAUAAAAAAGAGGUAGUGUACUAAAAAUAAAAUAUGAGUAUGUGUGUUUUUUAACCGUAGUUUUGAAGCAAUAGAAAAAUUAUCUUCGUGUAAUCUAUAAGUUAUGAAUUUGAAUAGUAAUUAAAAUUAGUCAUUAAUAUUUGUAUUAGCGUAAGUGCUAUGGGUGUGGACGUGUGGUCAUUCUCCAAGUCCUGCUCAUAUGAGAUGUUUUAUGUAGUGGACUAUUUUUUUCUAUAUGUAUGAGUUUAAUUUAUUACCAGUA